GUGGUCCUUGGUUUCUAUCUGGGUCCCAGGGUGAAGGGUGCGCAUUGAUUCAGAGCCUGCUAAAAUGACUUACAAAGAUGGGUCAUUGACUUCAGGAUGUGGGCUGAGUAUAUGGGGUGACUGUGAAGAAUCUAUACUCCUGCCCCAUAGUGUAUUUCAGUGCGCCUGCGAGGAAGAGGAGUAAAGACAUCAUGCUGGCACGUGCACAGAUCAGUACAGACCAAACUUUUGCUGUGGGAGGCAGAGGAAGGGCUGAGAGUUGCUGUUAGUGCACGUGUCCACAAGAGAGCACCAGAUCACAGCACAGCCACCCUGCAGCUCCCUGUUUCUAUCUCCAGGCUCAGAAGGGGAUUAAAGUUGGACACAUGGAGAUGCCCAGAGCCUGCUGUUUUAUUCAUGGUGCCUCUGACCCUGUGGCCCAAUUUGCCUCAACUCAGUGAGAGAUCUCCACAACCUUCAUCUUCCCUCUGCACCUGAGCUGCUUCAGCCUCUGCAGGACACCCAUUCAAAGGAAGCUCUCUAAAUCCAUGUACGGUGAAUCACGAAUCACGGCUGGGUUGUUUAGAAUUACAAGCAGAGUCAUGGGGAGGAAGGUUGCUGAUUCUAAGCCUGCUGUCCUGACUUAAAUAGGAGCGUUGCUGACUUCAGGCAGUGGCAGAAAGUUGGGUAUGGUGAGUGGCCUGGCCCACUGUGAGUAAGUCACUCCCAUGUGUAUUUGUGUGUCAUGAGAGGGAGAGGGGUAAGAGCAUCACACUGACAAGUGUCCCAGGCCAGUGCAGACCAACGUUCCUACAUGGAGGCAGAGGAAACGCUGAGUUGCUGUUAGAGCAGAUUAGCACCAUCUGACACCAGAGCACAAGUGAUCCCCGUGCCCCCGCCACAGGUCCCAGACUUCACCUUCAGGCUUGGAGGCAAGUUUGGAGAUGGGUCCUUGGUCUGGUGGCCCAACUGCUAGAGAAUUAGACAGGCUCUCUCUGGUCUGAGUCCCCAUCAUGGGUUGAAUGCAAAACUCUGGACCCAGAAAUACCUGGGUGGGAUUUUUCCCUACACUUGGCUAUCAUCAG
rnacentral:lncRNA from 1 species